rnacentral:lncRNA from 1 species
UUGAACCUUACCAUAUUACUCGUGAUAAUAUCUUAGAAAACGAUUGAUAAAAUCACUCAGUAAAAGGCCAAACUCCUUCUUAUUUAGAUCUCGGACUAUGGUUUCAUCAUCUUGCAACGGCGAAAAGUAUCUUUACAUAUCUAGCCCCUUUCUCUAGGUGUGUUUGAAAUUCCACUUUUCUAUGUAUAGCAAUGCUAAUCUCACGAUGAAUUAUCCUAUGUGACCUUUAGCUUGAAUACAAAAAAUAUAACCCUCCUUUUCAAAAUACCCGAUUCGUUAAUCCAAAUUUUACACGGCUAAAGGCACCCAAGUCUAGAAAAGGGAAAACAAAAGUAAGAAUUUUGAACUUCCCACUUACCAACCAAAUACAUAAACCUUUGAGUUAAGUUUUGUGCAUAUAAGCUUGAUAUUUUACUUCUGAAUAGAGUAAUAACCUGCUAUUACAGGUUAAAUUGAACUGACUGGUGCACAAAAGAAAAAAACUAUGCACUACCACGGUAUAUAACUUAAAUCCUAAAAUUUUCCCUCUAUUUUUUAUUCCAAAAAUAAGGUGAAGCUAACAACUGCCACUUUCAAACGAGAAAUAAAUUCAGAAAAAUUAGGAAAACAACAAAAAGCUGAAAGGUAAAAACUUUCUGCAAAACACUCUACACCACCAACAACAACAACAACUCAUUAUAAUCCCACUUAGUGAAGUCUGGGAAGGGUAGUGUGUACGUAGACCUUACCCCUACCCUUGGGUAGAGAGGCUGUUUCCACCUUUUUAAUCCAUUGUCUUUAACCCAAUUUAGUAAAUUUACUAUGGCAUUUAUCAACAACAACAACACAGUAUAAUUCUAUUUAGUGGGGUUUGGGGAGGGUAGUGUGUACGCAGACCUUACCCCUACCCUGAGGUAGAGAUGCUGUUUCCAAAUAGAAACCGGCAUCCUUCCCUCCAAGAACUUCCCACCUUGCUCUUAGGGAGACUCGAACUCACAACCUCUCGGUUGGAAGUAGGGGUUGCAGAACAUUCUACACCAACUUGCUAAAAAAUGUUCCAAGAAAAAAAAACAGAUUAUCACAGUAAAGUCAUUUUUCUCAAAGGCAACCAAGAACAAAGUAGCAACAACAACGACGACAACCCAGUAUAAUUCCACAAGUAUAUAUUAGAAGAUAUACUACGUAACAGUUACUUAGAAAGAGACUCUCUGUCUUUUCGGAUAGGGGUAAGGCUCGUCUACAUAUUACCCUUCUCAGACCCCACUUUGUGAGACUAUACUGGGUAGUUGUUUACUACGUAACAGUUACAAGUUUGAACAAAGCAAGAAGCU